rnacentral:misc_RNA from 1 species
ACAUGUACUGUGGAGACUCGUCGACAUCUGGUAAUCAUCUUACUAAAAGAAUAGAGUCUGCGUGUGGCGAGCCACGGGACAGAAAUCGUUGAAAUGCUUACCGUCGUGCCCCGUCCUAAGUAUUUCUUUUAAGGAGAGCUAUAGAGUUACUUCAUGCCUUUGUUAGACAAAACGCUCAUCGCUUGACCGCGACUACGUUCGGCGACUGGUUGUCGCCUCGAGCCCGAGCGCACUAUCAUAAAUCUCAAAUAAGUACAGUCGAAUCGAAUGACAACAGUUUCUUAAUUCGGCUAUGGUGAAAUCUAUAUUACAGUACUAGGGGUCUUCCCAAAGUUCCGAAGGGAAGGUUCCGGUGUUCUUUCAUCUCCGACAUAUAUAUAUUGGACGAGUGUGAUAGUUGUAGUAGUUGGGCCUCGUCCGGUGUAAUUGUCACUAGUGGCUGUAGAUGUCGCUGCCGGGGUACUGCUGAUUUUUCCUCCGUUUUUUGAUGCGUAAGAAGUAAAAUCGGACUCCGGUCGCCGGGAUUCGAACCCGGGUUCCGAACGUUCGCAACCUAAGACGUUAACCACUGCGCUGCCGUCGUUCGACACUAGUUAGAGUCGAAUGGUGGUAUUUGGCUUGUCCAGUGCCGCCACAGAAUCAACGUUUCUCC